UCCGGCCAGGAGGUGCCGUUGCCUGAGUGACCCCACAUCCCAGUCAUAGCAGCUGCCCCGGCAGGAGCUUCCUUGGUGAGGAAGGAGCAGUCCAAAUGCAGCCAAGGGGCCUGCAGCAGGCCGAGAGGAGCACGGCUCUGACACCGGCAGCAGGCACAGAAUUGGUGAUACAACAGGGCCCGAGAGUGGCAAUUCGUUGGCUGCUCCCCCAGGGGCUGUGUGGCACUCAGAGCUGAAGAUAGUGGCUCAGAUGUGGCCCGGUGGCCUUUGUGCCCACACACAGACAUCCCUGCUUCCACCUGGGUUCCAGGGCCACGCCUGGAACUGAACUCACUCAGUCAAGGACCAGUGGGCCAAUGAACAUAUUCUCAAUGGCCUGUCAAUCUCUGAAUCCUCACCUGGACGUGCGGGGCCCCACAAAAGUACCAGGCAGAAGGAUCAAGAACUUGAAUGGGAAGUCAUCAGAGAGGGAGACAAACCAUGAGAGACUCUUAACUACAGGAAACAAACUGAGAGCUAAAUCCCAGACUUCUUACAAGUAGGAAAUAUGCAAACUGCAGAAAACCCCUGAUGGUCCUCAACUUGCACUUGCCGAUUACUGAAGCAUCAGCAGGGGAUCUCCAGGGUCCUGGGUGCUCAGAAGAAGAAAGCUCCCAGAGAAUGGCCAGGAAAAAAUUUAACAAGUGCUCUCCCCUUAUCCUCCCAUUUCAUUGUUCUUACCAUCCCCUAAAGGCUAAGAACUCCCCUCCUGCACCUCACAAGCAAUCAUGCUCAGGACAAGUCCCUGACUUGUAUUCGGCUAGCUCAGAAGCUCCUCAAAUCAUCCACGUUCCUUAGCAUCAAGACCCCAAAAAGAGGCACCUCAGGAAAAUCCACUCGGUAAAUUCAUGAUCUCUAAAGACAUUUUGCUUCCCAGCCAUGUCCCAGCUGUCCUUCAACCUGCUUCAGUUGAAACCAAAAAUUCAUCUCUACCACAGCUUCUGCAGCCUUCGACUGUUUGUAGCAGCACGUCGUCAGAGCUCAAGGGGCUGCUGGUGGCCCUCUUCCUCUCUGCUGAUCAUCCUCUGAAGCAUCAAUAAAACACACGGAGAGGCACGUGUACCCCCCCGCCCCACCGCCCACAUACAGUCCCCGCUCCCACAUCUUUCUUCAAGGGCAAGGACCAAAGGAGAAGGGGAGGGGAGUCAGGAUGGGAGUGCCCCAGAUUAAUGGAUAUUUGAAACUCAAACACAUGGCCCAGGACCUACGCUGCACGUGUUAAUUACCACACAUGUGCCCAUAAAGGAGUCCGUUAAACACAAGGGGCCCAAAGAACAGAGCGAGGAAAGGACAUUCCAAGGGAUUAAGUAAAUAGGCUGAAGUUCUGACCCUCCCCCCCCCCCCCCCCCCAGAGCACGUGCAUCUGGGUAAGAUAACAGCGCUGCCCUCCCUCCUUCCCCCACUUCUCCCCUCGGGCCCCACACCUGUGGACCCAGGAGCCACAAGCCAGGCCUCCUGUCUGGGCCAGCCGCCUGUGACCCGCUACUGCCUGGCCUCUCUCCCUCCUCCCUUCCUCCUGCUAUCUCUCCGAGCCUCCUCCCCCAGCCUCCUCUGCUGGGCCUUCUCCUCUCCUCCACAGGACUAAUUCCUGGCUGGCAACCAGACCCUCCAUCUCCGCACAAUACACCUUUUCAUUCCUUCCAGGCAGAGAGAACCGAUCCCUCUGAGCCCUGUCAGUGGAGCGGGCUCCCAAAGGCAAGAGGGUGGGGAGAGAAGGGCCUGGGCCCGCUCCUCCCCCGCUGCCCCCUGCCGCCCCCACCACUCUCACACCCAGACCUGGGGCGUCCUUUCUGGCUGUACCCCUCACCCUGCGCGAGGGUCCGGGCCGCGCAUCUCUGCAGCAGGCCUCAGGGCUGUGAACUCCAGCUCUAGGGAGAUGCCGUCUAGGAGACCCCACGUGUGGGCACCAGCUCAGACAAGGGGCCUUUGUGUCUUCCCACCUGCUGCCCUCUGGAGCACAUUCCAUUCUUAAGUGGCAGCUGAGAGAGGGACCUCAGCGGCUGACACAGGAUAUUACAAAUGCCCUCUCGCACCCUGUCCCCCUUCAAACCCCAGCUUCCUGGACAGGUGUGGCUUCAGGUGGCCCUUCCUACAGGUGGCCUGAGCCUGCUUUUCUCUGCACUGCCCACGGCAGACAAAGAGAAGAGGAUUAGCACCUAAGCUGAUCCUCCAAAGUAGAAGGAAGGAGAUGCUCUGGGCAAAAGUCAAGUCUCCAGAGGCGAGUGAGCCCUAGCAUCCCCCACCAGGCCUCUGCACCAAAGAGGAAGCCUCUGCAGAACCAUCUGGGAGGGAGGAGCCCAUCUGGCGUAGGGGAGCAAAUUGCUGGAAACCAAGCAACUUAUCUCUAAGAUGAGGCUCCAGACUCUAUGCCCCUAUUCCUUGCACCGUCCCUGGAGGAAUCAGGUGUCCCUGUCCUCUCCCAGCUGGAGCAGCAAGAACCCACAAUGGCCACAGGUCUGUUUCUUUUGUUGUCCACAGGGUGCAAAGCCACAUCAACCUGGAAAGUACUUCCCUGUACCGUUUAAGAUCCCAGAUCCCAUGGUUCGCCUUUCUUGGUGUGGGCGCUCCAUUCAGCAUCAUGCCCUCAGUUCCCUUUGGUGGGGGAAAUCUGGGUUGUCUGUUUUGCAUGAUUGCCAAUUGUUUUUUCUACCACUGAGAUCUCAUGCCCCAGAACAAAGGCGAUGUUCCUGAAGUCUUCAGUUGCAACAAGUCAAAUCGAAGGCAGCUCUGCUUCGCAACUCCAGUAAAUUGCAGACUGACACACGUGCCAUUCACAGUGUUGAGGAGGUCAGGUCUUUGCAGGAAGAACCAUUCACGCCCCUCUCCCACUUUCCUACCUAGAAGGGAAUGGCCAGCACGCAGGGCAGCCUCUCCCUGUUCCGGGAAGGACCCAGAAAGGCAGUUGCUCCCUCCUUUUUGCCCACGUAUGCAUUCCUGCUUGUGGAAAGGCCCAUUAAUCCAUGUUUUCUAGUAGGAUCCUGAUGCUCCACUUCCUCGUCCUCUUGGAACACCUGCAUUCAGGCCGGCAGCUUCUCCAGAGUCUCAUUUCCUGCAUCCGGGCAGGGUGGUUUCGCCUCCUCUUCCCAUUCCCGUGGGACAAGCAUGCAGGGCAGGGUCCUGGGCCUCACUUCCAUCUCCCUGUGACCACGGGUGCAGGACAAGCCCAUGCACCUCACGCUGACCCUAUACAGGCCCGACACGCCAUGUGGACAUUUAAGUCCAGUUCCCCCAAGGCCCAGAUUCGGGUGCAAAGCCUCAAACUCAGCUGCCAUCUCCUGGCUGGGUUUUUACCAAAGAGCCCGAAAUAGGGGUUCUGGAGUGUUUGUACAUUCAGUGAAAUUGGUAUUGGUCCCCCAUGCAGCUACCAGAGCGUGUGCUCACGCGCUCUCUCUCUCUCACUCCACUCAAGUGGCAGUGGAGCUUAGUGUCCUCCACCCUGGAAAUUAUGGUCAGCAUAUCCCAGGGACUUAUUCCUCAUGUUGGCUGCCCCACUAAACAGCACUCAGACAAGUGCCUUAAUUGAGGUUAGCCACAUAAUUUGUAGGGCCCAGUGCAGAAUGAAAAUGCAAGGCCCUUUGUUCAAAAAGCAAGAAAAUAGUGCCAUUAAGGGCACCAAACUAUAAAGUUUUAUCCUCUCUUCCAUGGUCUCUCUCUUGACUUGUCAUGGUGUUUUAAAAUUUUCUAUUUAAUGUUGUUCUAGGUAAAGAAGGAUUAAAAUUUUUCACGUCCUGUGGAAGCCCCCACAGCACACGUCACAAAAGCGAUAUGCCAACAGGGGGACAAGGACACACACGUGCGCGCCUCACUGUCCCACUGGGCUUUACUUAGCAAAACACAAGUUUAAAGAUAGAAUGAUUAAGAAUCCCAAGACCAUAGCAGCACAGGUUGCAAGCCUGUGAAGCUGGGCUCGUCUUAGUGAAGAAAAUCUGGAUGGGCUGGAACAAUUAUUAAGGAGAAUCAGCGAGGGGGGGAAAGAUGUUCAAACCGGUUUCCAAAACAAGAGGGUCGGGCAGACCUGGACAUGCCUACCUUCAUUGUCCUUUUUGGUUGCAUGCUGGCUACCUGGUAGUUGACUGACUGAACCGCCCAGGAGCCAAGGUUUUCAGGGUCCCUGCCAGCUCCGUACCC